rnacentral:rRNA from 1 species
AGCCGGGAACUUAAGGAUACUGCCAGUGACAAACUGGAGGAAGGCGGGGACGACGUCAAGUCAUCAUGGCCCUUACGGCCAGGGCUACACACGUGCUACAAUGGCGCAUACAAAGAGAAGCGACCUCGCGAGAGCAAGCGGACCUCACAAAGUGCGUCGUAGUCCGGAUCGCAGUCUGCAACUCGACUGCGUGAAGUCGGAAUCGCUAGUAAUCGCGGAUCAGCACGCCGCGGUGAAUACGUUCCCGGGUCUUGUACACACCGCCCGUCACACCAUGGGAGUGGGU